ensembl:lncRNA
GCAUCUUUCAAUAUUUCUUGGUGCUUCAUAAACAAAAAAUGCUCCUUUUUUUUUAGGACUCCAUUGUCCUUCUGCUGGUGUGGUAUUUGGAAACCACCCGCCAUGGAUGUACAGUGUGAUGGAAGAGGAGUAGAUGGGAUUUCCUGCUUUCCGUGUCAAGGAAUCAAGAGCAGCUUUGGCAGCAGGGCCAGUAUUGGGCUGAAACAAAAGAGGUUUGAUUUACAACUACCAUAUUAUUUUGACAGCUUUAUAAGGAGAAAAAAAAAAAAAGAAAAAAAAAAAGAAGGGGUAGUACUGUAAUAAUAUCAUAUUUUAACUGUACAUUAACUUCUAUGAGGUUUUAUCUGGAAGCACCUUUCCAUGUGAUAGAGAGCAUUUCUAG